rnacentral:rRNA from 1 species
AGUAAUAAAACCAAAUAAUAUUAAACUACACGAAGGUGUGCGAGCUACAUAAUACAAGAUCUGUAGUCUAGGUAUAUGUGACAUAAUAUUUGGGUAGUUUUAUGUAGGGGUGAUAGGCCAUCCAAGUACAUUGAUAUCUUGAUACGCAAGAAAUAUAUUUAGUAUAAAGACAUACUACUAAAGUUAAGCUUGGUAGUAAAUAUAAAUUUUAAUUUUACAUGAUCACUUCAGUUUAACCACUAAAUGAUUAUUAACACUAACAUUAAAUAUUAAUUUUUGUAGCAAGUAGUGCGUUAUAAGUUAUUAAACUUCUUUAUAUAUAAUGUUACUAUAAGUAAUAAUAAUAAGUGCUUUGUAUGAACUCGGCAAUAUUCUUUUCAACUGUUUACCAAAAACAUAGCUAUAUGAUUAAUAAUGUAUAGUUAUUUCUGCUCCAUGAUAUGUUAAAUAGCCGCAGUACUCUGACUGUGCAAAGGUAGCAUAAUCAGUUGGCUCCUAAUUAGAGUCUGGAAUGAAUGAAUACAUGGGGAGUAGCUAUCUUAAAGUAUAUACUUGAAAUUGGUUGUGGGUGAAAAUCCCCACAGAUUUUUAAAAGACGAGAAGACCCUAGAAACUUAUUUAACUGUUUUGUUGGGGCGACAGAAUUACAUAUAACUAAUUUUUUAUUACAGGACGAUUUCAGGUAGCUGAAGUUACUCUAGGGAUAACAGCAUAAUAUUUUUGUUUGUGACCUCGAUGUUGGACUAGGUAAAGUAUUCCUUAGAAGGGAAUAUAUGUGCUCUGUUCGAGCCAAGGAACCUACAUGAUCUGAGUUCAGACCGG